rnacentral:snoRNA from 15 species
AAACGAGGGACAUCGUCGGGGGCUCUGAUUCAACUUCUGUGGGGCCAAACCGAAACAACACCUUCGAAGA